rnacentral:rRNA from 1 species
GCCUAAUACAUGCAAGUCGAACGCUUCUUUUUCCACCGGAGCUUGCUCCAUCGGGAAAAGAGGAGUGGCGAACGGGUGAGUAACACGUGGGUAACCUGCCCAUCAGAAGGGGAUAACACUUGGAAACAGGUGCUAAUACCGUAUAAUAAUUAAAACCGCAUGGUUUUAAUUUGAAAGGCGCUUUACGGUGCCACUGAUGGAUGGACCCGCGGUGCAUUAGCUAGUUGGUGAGGUAAUGGCUCACCAAGGCGACGAUGCAUAGCCGACCUGAGAGGGUGAUCGGCCACAUUGGGACUGAGACACGGCCCAAACUCCUACGGGAGGCAGCAGUAGGGAAUCUUCGGCAAUGGACGAAAGUCUGACCGAGCAACGCCGCGUGAGUGAAGAAGGUUUUCGGAUCGUAAAACUCUGUUGUUAGAGAAGAACAAGGAUGAGAGUAACUGUUCAUCCCUUGACGGUAUCUAACCAGAAAGCCACGGCUAACUACGUGCCAGCAGCCGCGGUAAUACGUAGGUGGCAAGCGUUGUCCGGAUUUAUUGGGCGUAAAGCGAGCGCAGGCGGUUUCUUAAGUCUGAUGUGAAAGCCCCCGGCUCAACCGGGGAGGGUCAUUGGAAACUGGGAGACUUGAGUGCAGAAGAGGA